CACGUAGGGCGCGAGCGUUGUCCGGAAUUAUUGGGCGUAAAGAGCUCGUAGGCGGUCUGUCGCGUCGGAUGUGAAAACCCAGGGCUCAACCCUGGGCCUGCAUUCGAUACGGGCAGACUAGAGUGUGGCAGGGGAGACUGGAAUUCCUGGUGUAGCGGUGAAAUGCGCAGAUAUCAGGAGGAACACCGGUGGCGAAGGCGGGGCUCUGGGCCAAUACUGACGCUGAGGAGCGAAAGCGUGGGGAGCGAACAGG
rnacentral:rRNA from 1 species